rnacentral:rRNA from 1 species
UACAGGGGGAGCAAGCGUUGUUCGGAUUUACUGGGCGUAAAGGGCGGGUAGGCGGCCACUGCAAGUCGGUUGUGAAAUCUCCGGGCUUAACCCGGAAAGGUCAAUCGAUACUGCAGGGCUAGAGUGCAGAAGGGGCAACUGGAAUUCUCGGUGUAGCGGUGAAAUGCGUAGAUAUCGAGAGGAACACCUGCGGCGAAGGCGGGUUGCUGGGCUGACACUGACGCUGAACUGCGAAAGCUAGGGGAGCGAACGGG